rnacentral:rRNA from 1 species
UACGGAGGGUGCAAGCGUUGUUCGGAAUCAUUGGUCGUAAAGCGCGUGUAGGCGGAUUGUUAUGUCGGAUGUGAAAGCCCUCGGCUUAACCGAGGAAUUGCUUCCGAAACUGCCAUUCUUGAGUACGGGAGAGGGAAGCGGAAUUUCCAGUGUAGAGGUGAAAUUCGUAGAUAUUGGAAGGAACACCGGUGGCGAAGGCGGCUUCCUGGACCGAUACUGACGCUGAUACGCGAAAGCGUGGGGAGCAAACAGGAUUAGAUACCCUGGUAGUCCACGCCGUAAACGAUGACCACUAGGUGUUGCGGGAGUUGACCCCUGCAGUGCCGCAGCUAACGCGUUAAGUGCUCCGACUGGGGAUUACGGUCGCAAGACUAAAACUCAAAGGAAUUGACGGGGGGCCGCACAAGCGGUGGAGCAUGUGGUUCAAUUCGAUGCAACGCGCAGAACCUUACCCGGCCUUGACAUCCUGAGAAUUCCCGAGGAAACCGGGAAGUGCCUCUUUUGAGGAACUCAGAGACAGGUCAGGCAUGGCAGUCGUCAGCUCGUGUCGUGAGAUGAUGGGUUAAGUUACGCAACGAGCGCAACCCUCGCCCUUAGUUUCCAUCAUUAACAAGGGCACUCUAGGGGGACUGCCGGUGUGAAACCGGAGGAAGGCGGGGAUGACGUCAAGUCCUCAUGGCCUUUAUGUCCGGGGCUACACACGUCAUACAAUGGGUGGUACAAAGGGCUGCCAACCCGCGAGGGGGAGCAAAUCUCAAAAAACCACUCUCAGUUCGGAUUGGAGUCUGCAACUCGAGUCCAUGAAGGCGGAAUCGCUAGUAAUCGCACAUCAGCACGGUACGGUGAAUACGUUCCCGGGCCU